rnacentral:misc_RNA from 1 species
AACGCACCUUGCGCCUUUUGGUAUUCCGAAAGGCAUGCCUGUUUGAGUGUCAUGAAAUCUCAAUCCCCUCGGGUCCCUUGACCCGGGGUGGACUUGGACCUGGGCGUCUGCCGUCUGCCGGCUUGCCUCAAAUGACUUAGUGGGAUCAGCAUCCACGGCCUGACGUGAUAAGUUUCGUCUGGCAUGGUGUGAGGCCCGCUCAUAACCUGCCCCUUGUGGCGCUCUUUUGGACUCUGACCUCAAAUCAGGUAGGACUACCCGCUGAACUUAA